AACGAACGCUGACGGUAUGCCUAAUACAUGCAAGUCGAACGAGAAAGCUCCUUCGGGGGUGAGUAAAGUGGCGCACGGGUGAGUAACACGUAGGUGACCUACCUCUUAGUUGGGGACAACAGAGAGAAAUUUCUGCUAAUACCGAAUAAGCUGAGUAAUUUUGGAAUUAACUCAGGAAAGAUGGCCUAACUCCUUGGAAGCCGUUGCUAAGAGAAGGGCCUGCGGGGCAUUAGCUUGAUGGUGGGGUAAUGGCCUACCAUGGCGAUGAUGUCUAGCCGGUCCUGAGAGGAUGAUCGGCCACACUGGAACUGAGACACGGCCCAG
rnacentral:rRNA from 1 species